CAGGAAAAUCAGAGCAAUGGCUCACAGGACUUGCAUGACAUAAGGAGAUCAUUGUUUAUUAUUGCUCUGCCUUCAAGAAAAGCAAUUGUCAAACAAGGCAUUACAGGCUGAGAAGUCACACAAUCUGCUGUCUGCAAGCUGAAGACCCGGGAAAGCUGGUGGCAUACUGCUGAGAAACAGAGGGCUGGUGGGAUCCAGAGAAGUGAUUUUGGUGGUUGGAACUAUGGUGGGACAGUGGGGAUGAAGAGGAAUGGAUGAGAAAAUGAGAAAAUCUUGUUAGAUCCUAUCUUCCAGCCUCCUGUGCAGUUAAGUCCAUGUGACUACUGAAGCCAAUGGAAUGAGAGUAGAAAUGACGUAUGCCACUUCCAGUCUUGGUUCAUGGAAAUAUUCCAAACAAGAUCCUCUCUAUGUCUAUCCUCUUCCAAAAUAACCUUGGAGGCCAUGUGUUGAAGAUGGUGGAGUCAAAUCUGGAAAGAAGUGAAAUCCCAGAAUGACUGCUGAGAGAAGAGCUACCCACAAAUCAGGAACAUCUGUUUCAGACUCAAUGUGAAUAAGAGAUAAACUUAUUUCUAUAGC